GCAUAUCAAUAAGCGGAGGAAAAGAAACUAACAAGGAUUCCCCUAGUAACUGCGAGUGAAGCGGGAAAAGCUCAAAUUUAAAAUCUGGCGGCCUUUGGCCGUCCGAGUUGUAGUCUGGAGAAGUGCUUUCCGCGCUGGACCGUGUACAAGUCUCUUGGAACAGAGCGUCAUAGAGGGUGAGAAUCCCGUCUUUGACAUGGACUACCAGUGCUUUGUGAUGCGCUCUCAAAGAGUCGAGUUGUUUGGGAAUGCAGCUCAAAAUGGGUGGUAAAUUCCAUCUAAAGCUAAAUAUUGGCGAGAGACCGAUAGCGAACAAGUACCGUGAGGGAAAGAUGAAAAGCACUUUGGAAAGAGAGUUAAACAGUACGUGAAAUUGCUGAAAGGGAAACGCUUGAAGUCAGUCGCGUUGGCCGGGACUCAGCCUUGCUUUUUUGCUUGGUGCAUUUUCCGGUUGACGGGCCAGCAUCGAUUUUGACCGCUGGAAAAAGGUUGAGGGAAUGUGGCACCUCCGGGUGUGUUAUAGCCUUCAGUCACAUACAGUGGUUGGGAUCGAGGACCGCAGCACGCCUUUUAUGGCCGGGGUUCGCCCACGUUCGUGCUUAGGAUGCUGGCAUAAUGGCUUUAAACGACCCGUCUUGAAACACGGACCAAGGAGUCUAACAUGCCUGCGAGUGUUUGGGUGGAAAACCCGAGCGCGUAAUGAAAGUGAAAGUUAGGAUCCCUAUCGUGGGGAGCACUGACGCCCGGACCUGAACUUUGGUGAUGGAUCUGCGGUAGAGCAUGUAUGUUGGGACCCGAAAGAUGGUGAACUAUGCCUGAAUAGGGUGAAGCCAGAGGAAACUCUGGUGGAGGCUCGUAGCGAUUCUGACGUGCAAAUCGAUCGUCAAAUUUGGGUAUAGGGGCGAAAGACUAAUCGAACCAUCUAGUAGCUGGUUCUGC
rnacentral:rRNA from 1 species